rnacentral:rRNA from 1 species
GACGGACGCUGGCGGCGUGCUUAACACAUGCAAGUCGAGCGGUAAGGCCCUUUCGGGGGUACGACGAGCGGCGAACGGGUGAGUAACACGUGGGUGACCUGCCCUCAGCUCUGGGAUAAGCCUGGGAAACUGGGUCUAAUACCGGAUAUGACUCCAUGACGCAUGUUGUGGGGUGGAAAGCCUUGUGCAGCUGAGGAUGGGCCCGCGGCCUAUCAGCUUGUUGGUGGGGUGAUGGCCUACCAAGGCGACGACGGGUAGCCGGCCUGAGAGGGCGACCGGCCACACUGGGACUGAGACACGGCCCAGACUCCUACGGGAGGCAGCAGUGGGGAAUCUUGCGCAAUGGGCGAAAGCCUGACGCAGCGACGCCGCGUGAGGGAUGACGGCCU